AUGCUGCUCCGCGCCGCCGGGAGGCUCUCGCCGGCGGCGUUCCGCUUCAGCCACCCGCAUGAACUAGAUAACUCGUACGUCGAUGUGGACCUGUCCAGCUUAUUCCGUCGUGCCACCUCCAUCAAGCUUGACGCACAGUUGCUCUGCUUCCCCGAACCGCGGUCUGAGUUCUCCGCGCUCGAGAGUCUAUCGCUCUCCGGCUGUCUUGUUCGCCUCGCCGUCGUUGUUCCCCUUUGCCCGCGCUUGCGAGUGCUCAAGGUGGCUCACGUUUUCCUCCAAGGCGACGACAUCACAGUCCACUCGGUGACGCUGCAGGAGCUCGUCGUGGAGAACGAGGUCGUCAACACAACAAUAAGACGUGUGGACGUCGAGGCCCCCGCGCUCAAGCAAUUGACCGUGUUCUUCCGCAACAGUGGCGACCUCGGCGUCUCUGUUUUGGCACCAAAUAUGGAGAACGUCUCGUGGUGGUGCAUCUAUUCCGGCGUGAGGGUUGGGCUUGGUCUUUGGGGCCUCUCCGGAGUGUGA
rnacentral:rRNA from 1 species